GGCGCAGGGGGCGGGAUCCAUAAAAAGCGGUGUGGAGGUGUACAGCCUGAGCCUGACUCCACGCCACUGGGUAAUUUAUGUUGUCACACUGCUGUUCUUGGUGCAGAGGCAUUCAGAAUGUCACAGAGGCCAGACCUACGGGCUCCUGGACCCCUGGGCCGGCAGGGCAUCUUGGAAGAACAGUGCUUGGUUUGAUACCUGCAGCAGAGGGGAGGAAAGCCCAGGGACGUAGCGUGAGGAGGUGAUCCAUCGUGUCCCAGUACAUCCGGGACUAGCUUUCUGAGCCCCCUAUCCAAAGCUGGCUUUAUUUCCGUUAACAAUGGUGCUCCCGCAUCUCACGAGUACACGCUGUGUCCUCUCCUCUCUGCAUUUCAUUAUCCCCCCCACACCCCCAGACACGGGGAAAGGGUUGAGCAGCAAGCCUUGGUUCAUGAACGUUUUAAUUCCUUGUUAAAGUAAAUUAGGCAAUGCCAAAGGCUGUGGGUUUGGUCCUUGGAAAAAACGUGGGCCUUAAAGAUGGGAGAGUAAAUUUUGGAGGGCUUUAUUGAAGAAAUAAAAGACAUCUUUUGUAUUUUUCUUCCCCGGAGCCCUUCAUUUUUGUAACUGUGUUCCUGUUGGUUUAAUUAAACAUAGAAAGGUAAGAUGUUGAGUCCACCUGCCUUGGAGCAGACCCAGGUCUGAACUUUUUCAAAUCCUUGACACAUUUAACUUGAAGGAUUUGAAACACACAAUCAUAGGUUACCUAGUUCAGUUUUAUGUCCUACUGGAUUGAGUUUUUUUUUUAAUGUUUGAAAGCAUAGUUUUAUGGUAGUCCUUCUGGGAAGAAUCCAGUAUUAUCUAAAAUUAUUGGCAAAGUUAAAUGUAUUUUACGUAACAAAGUUUUUAGAAUGUUGAGAAGUAACUGAAAAUAGAGUGAUGUUUAGGCUGAGGUAAUUUAUUUCAAUACAUCUUUCAAAAGCCUUAUCUUGAAACGCUGUUAGUAAAUUUCUGUGAUUAUUUUUCUUUUUAAAUUGGUUUUGCUGAGAGCAUAGCUAUUUGUUUUUAUUGUAAAACAAUAAUAAUGAUAAUAAAAAGCAAACUCUCCUAGUGUGUUGUGUGUGGCUGGGAGGUAAGGCAGUUUUUUCCGGAGGUGCGGAGAUUAGAGCGCGUUUUGAUUUUGUGUGUUCCGUUCUGGUUGGAGGGUUUUUUCAUCCUUAUAAUUAUAUAUGUGUGCAUGUUGUGCACAUUUAAAGAUGAUACCAAUUCCAUGUGUUCUUAUGUUUCAGAUGUGUGAAAAGAGAAAAUGUUUUGGAGUCAAUUUUAGAGGGUCCUGAGACAUUGGAAUACAGCAAUAUGACAGUGAUCAAAGUGGAGCCAUGCCUUUAAAAUGACCCCAAAAGAGAAGUCCUAAAUUCACCCAUAGAUUUUACACCUGGAUAGUAAAGGGUUCUGGGCACUAAUUGUAUUGUCUCUUGAGUUUGGUCACUUCUUGAGGGCAUCUGCGACAGAUGCCAAGGGCAAGGGCAGGAGGCUAGACCAGUGUCCCGUUCCAUCAGGUGGUCCCCAUCCCAUGGCCCCUUCACUGUGCUGGCCGUCUCCAGGAAGGGAGCCUGUCCUCGUGCUCCGCCACGUAGCCCAAAGCGGAGGCCAGGCUGCUGGUUCACGUUUGUAAACUGAGUGUUUGGGUGCUCUGUGAAUGGUGGUGGAGGUGCCCUUGCCCUCUCUGGGCUCUUUUAGAAGUGCUCUCCCUCACUCCCUCCAUUUUCUUUUGGCUCUGCUGACAUCUUGGGUUCUUGCUUUGUUUUUUUUUCUCCCCCUAAUUUUGAGGCUUUUAUGUACUGUAGAGAUCGAUGGUCCUUGUGGAUGUAUUUCUUGUGUUGAUAUAAAUCCAGGGUGCCCAGGUGGCCACUUGGACCUGGUUUCCCACUUGAGCUGUGCAGACAAUAUGCUUUUUUAUCUUUAGCCGGCAGACGUGGUCCUCUCUGGGUGCGCCUUUCCCCACUACGGGGAGGAAGCGGAGAGCUCUGUGGAGCAGGGCCUCACCUGCAGGAGGAGCCGUGGCCCUGCCGCCAAGCUGGUCAGGGAACAACGCCUGCCUGCCCUGAAGGCCCUCCGUCACCUGAAUGUCUCCAUCUCUCGGUGCCCCUGACUGCACCUUAGACUCGCUUGUGGAGUCCCUAGAGACUAUGAUGCGUAGGCUGUGCUGCCACGUGUCUCAUCUAAUUGAAUUGGUCUUUCCCUGCACCCUUUCCCAAGAAAAUGCUUCUGGAUCCCAUUUUAAGGAAGAUAAGGCAAAGAAGCUUCCGUUGUUUUUAUCUACAAAAUUCAUAUGCAAGAACUGUUAUUCUAUGGCUCAUUUUUUUUUAAGAGAAGUUCAGGUACGCCAUAUGUAGAAGUCACGGCAUCCUGCAGCCUUUCGUCUGCAUCCCCCCAGACCAGUGUCCUGAAGUCAAGCUGUGGCCAGGAGCGCAGGCUUCCCAUCAACAGAGAUGGCUGUGAGCCUCCCUCUGCAGAUAAGUUGGGGCGAGGGGAGCUGGUGGGAGCAGUGCUGGGGGAGGGGUGGGCCUGGCUGGCUCACCAGCAGGCUUGUCCUGGCUGAGGAGCUCCCGGAUCUGUUCUUUGUUAACAGGAGGGGACUAGCCUCUUGUUACGCCACGGUCUCUGCAGCAGUAUCAACCCCCACUUUCCAUCCUCACUAGAUUCAAAAGGCCACUGGAAUUGCCAAGGAGAGGACUUCCUGGGCUCUUGGUGUGCGGAGGAUUACAAUUAACUGCCCUUGCCCAGACCCCGCCAUCUCCUAGGUGGAGCACUCGACUGCUUGGCUAGUAAGCGAUCCAUGGACAUGAUGCAAGGAUUUUGAUGAGCUGUGUUACCUCCAGGUCUCAGUCUCAACUGAUGUGCAACUAACUGCAGUAGAAACCUGGCAACCCAGUGGAGAGGUAGUGAGACCUGCCACCUGGAGGAAUUGAGAACCAGAUUCCGUACACCAGGCUGUGCUCAGCUGCUCCGUGUGUGUUCAGCCUGCCGGGGACUUCUGGCAUCCAGGUGCAACAGGAGAGGCUUUUAAAGCUGUCCAACACAAACAUCCCCACAUGAGAAAGAGCGAACACAGGUUACUGAAACAAAGGAAAAGGUGGAGGGGCGCACGCACACAAAGGGAGCAUCCAUCUGAGAGACGGAGAAGCAGAAUGUCAGCGGGAAAAACCACAACCCGGUUCCCAAAGACUAUGAAAGCUGAUCUGAUGUAAAGGCUCAACUAAAACCGGAUUCUACAGCAUUCUACAGAAAUACACAGCCGUCAGUCACUCUGGGUUGUAGGUUAGACAGGGGCUUGAUACAGAAAGGCUGUGUG